CCUGUAAGUAAUGUCAGAUCGUCAUUUAUUACUCUGAAUCACGAUGUAUGGUUAUUUAGACGCGAUUUUUCAAUUCGAAAAUGUCAAACCCGGAAUAGCGAAGUUGCAUGAAGUUUAACGUACAAAUCGUAUGCGGCGUAAUGAGGUGAGAUGCGAGCGGCCAGACGAGACGAAGAUGAGCAAGACGGUUUCCAGGUUAGAUCAGAACUUCUUCUCUCUUGAUUGCCGCACAAGCGCAACCAGCCCGCAUACCAGUCCAUCCAUGAAGGAAUGGAAAGCAGCUCCUCGCCGCGAAAUCUGACGAAUUCAAUCCAAAGGAAGGUACAAAGCUGCGCCUCUGCAUAGAACAAUCCAAUUGGCAAUGUUAAAAAAACAAGAGAAAGACAGAGAGAAAGGAACGGGAAUGGUGAAGCAAGGCGAGCCGGUGAUCGCGUAGUGGGACCAACAAAGUUACCUGGAUCGACAACAGAUACUUUUCUCGGCAGUAACCACCAAGACACCAUGACGACACGAUCACUCGCGUCGCCCCCGAUGCGACGACCGUCGGCCGUUGGUCUAAUCACCGCGUUUCUCCUUGUCGCGGCAGCACAAAUAUGUAGCGGAGCGUAUUACGGAAAAUUGCUCGGUAAAUUGUCUGAACUUCAUCAUGGCGUGAGUGGCGAAGUUUAUGCCGUUGAUGCAAGGACGCUAUUUAUCAAGGAUUUUACCUACGAUGGCGAAGGUCCAGCUGCCUUUUUUUAUGCUGGGAACGGCAAAGGACCAAGCAACAACAACGGGUUCCGAGUGCGAGACGAACACGGAACUACGAACGUUCUCAAACGGUACCGCAGGAAGGACAUCACGCUGACCUUACCAGAGGGCAAGACCUUGAACAAUAUCAAAUGGUUUUCGGUUUGGUGCGAGGAGUUCUCAGUAAAUUUCGGUGACGUUAAAAUACCGCGAGGCUUUGACUAUCCGAAACCACUGAAACUGAAAUCAUUGAGCGGCAUACACGGCGUCGGUUCGGAGCCGGUCGUUAUCGUGGAUGCUCAAACUCUUCUGAUACCUAGCUUCAGUUACGACGGAGAAGCACCUGAUGCCAAGUUCUGGGUAGGCGCGGGUCCGACGCCCUCGCCGCAAGGUAUCCGGGUACCCGACGAGAACGGAAAGGAGCAACCGUUGCGCCGCUACGACCGCAAGACGAUCGUUCUGACAUUACCAGGUGACUUGACGGUUCAUCAACUCGGUCACUUCGGAGUGUGGUGCGAGGCCUUCGCCGUAGAUUUCGGUCACGUGCAAAUUCCACACAAUAUGAACGUACCGCCGUCCCUCAAGAUGCUGGGAGUCUCGCCGCAGGGGGAUAGAAGGAUCGACUCGUUCGUGCGCUACUGACCGCGAACGCGUGAUUUCCCAUCCUCCCUGAGUGUCAUCCGCCCCGUGUGUGAAUACACGAAGAUGCCCUCCGCUUGCCGCACCGCUCUCACCGCAAUUUAGGAAAUUUCGAAUUUUCCGACGUUUACCUCUCGCAGCCACGCUGUUUUAAACGAUGCUUUGCCUUGGAUCUGUUGUUUCACACGGAGAUACUAAAUGUUGUUUCGUUCAUUCUGAACCGCGCGGGUUUGUUUUUCAGGGAACAAAACGCGCAAGAUAUUAAACUAGAAUGUUGAAGUUGAGAUGAGAUUUUUCGUGUUCCGUUGAGAUGUCAUAUACGAGAAGAAAAAAGGUUUGCAUCGAGUAAAAUUGAGUAAAUUAGCAGCGUGUUAGAUUUUUAUUUGUUUUUUUUUAAUUACGCUGAAAACUUAUACUUAGCAGUUUCUUAUAUCUAUUGUUCAUGAAUUUGUCCGUCAAAUGUUUGAUAACCGUGGAAAAAUGAGGAAUUUCUUAAAUAUUCAUUUUUUACUUUAAUUAAUUUUUUAUAUUAAAGUUUUACUUAUUUUUAUAUCUGAGGAUUUACAAUUUUUUCUUCUGACGUAUGUAUGUAUAUAUCUAUACGGGUGGUAUGUAUACGUACGCGUAUAAUAUAUAUGUGUAUAUAUAUGUAUGCACACACAUAUUCGUUUACGCGCGCAUGUGUGUACUAUAUUUUUGAUAUUUUUGAUAUUUUUGUAUCCAUUUUCUACAUAUAUAUAUAUAUAUAUUAUGUAUUAUACAUUCUAAAUAAACGUAUUUUUUACAAUUGGAGCUUUGUAUAUAUUCCCAAGCAUGAUUUUAUAAUACUUAUAUCUUUUAGUAUUUUUUAGCACAUUUUAGUAAUUUUUAGUACAUUUGUUCUACAAGGGUCUUUCUCUCGUAAAUGUUAAAGUUAAAUGAAGUUUAAUUGACCCUCCAGCCUUUGUUUAAAAAAAAGUUAUAAAGAGAAAGUAAGAGAGAAUGCAAAUAUUAAUUAACAAUGAACUUUAAUUGACAUUUGUAACAGCGGUUCUGUAAGAAAGUUAUAUUUUACAAUGCUGGAUUAUUGCUUCCACUUGGAAUUGGCAGUAAAUUGUUGUUAGUCUUACGCACGUCUGUCCCAGAUAAAAAUCUCACGGUGUGAUUUCAGUCGAAACUUAACUGCGAAGUUCUCGAGGACAGCUUAGCUUUCGAGGUGCGAUGGGCCGUAGCCGGAGAUAGCAUAGUUGUCCAACUCGUUGCGAAACUAGAUAACGGACAAUACAUGUC
rnacentral:misc_RNA from 1 species